GAUCAUGGCUCAGAUUGAACGCUGGCGGCAGGCCUAACACAUGCAAGUCGAACGGUAACAGGAAGAAGCUUGCUUCUUUGCUGACGAGUGGCGGACGGGUGAGUAAUGUCUGGGAAACUGCCUGAUGGAGGGGGAUAACUACUGGAAACGGUAGCUAAUACCGCAUAACGUCGCAAGACCAAAGAGGGGGGACCUUCGGGCCUCUUGCCAUCGGAUUUGCCCACGAUGGGAGUUAGCUAGUAGGUGGGGUAACGGG
rnacentral:rRNA from 1 species